rnacentral:rRNA from 2 species
GGGUUGUGAGGUUAAGCGACUAAGCGUACACGGUGGAUGCCCUGGCAGUCAGAGGCGAUGAAGGACGUGCUAAUCUGCGAUAAGCGCCGGUAAGGUGAUAUGAACCGUUAUAACCGGCGAUUUCCGAAUGGGGAAACCCAGUGUGAUUCGUCACACUAUCAUUAACUGAAUCCAUAGGUUAAUGAGGCGAACCGGGGGAACUGAAACAUCUAAGUACCCCGAGGAAAAGAAAUCAACCGAGAUUCCCCCAGUAGCGGCGAGCGAACGGGGAGGAGCCCAGAGCCUGAAUCAGCAUGUGUGUUAGUGGAAGCGUCUGGAAAGACGCGCGAUACAGGGUGACAGCCCCGUACACAAAAGCGCAUGUGCUGUGAGCUCGAUGAGUAGGGCGGGACACGUGGUAUCCUGUCUGAAUAUGGGGGGACCAUCCUCCAAGGCUAAAUACUCCUGACUGACCGAUAGUGAACCAGUACCGUGAGGGAAAGGCGAAAAGAACCCCGGCGAGGGGAGUGAAAAAGAACCUGAAACCGUGUACGUACAAGCAGUGGGAGCCCCACCACUAAGCCAGUGGUGAACUCCACAUACGCAUCCUUUGCUGAGGAUACGGUUAACGGAGCGAAAGCGACGUUCAACCUCAAAAGAAGCAGAGGGGGCUUAGUGGUGGGGUGACUGCGUACCUUUUGUAUAAUGGGUCAGCGACUUAUAUUCUGUAGCAAGGUUAACCGAAUAGGGGAGCCGGAGGGAAACCGAGUCUUAACCGGGCGUUAAGUUGCAGGGUAUAGACCCGAAACCCGGUGAUCUAGCCAUGGGCAGGUUGAAGGUUGGGUAACACUAACUGGAGGACCGAACCGACUAAUGUUGAAAAAUUAGCGGAUGACCUGUGGCUGGGGGUGAAAGGCCAAUCAAACCGGGAGAUAGCUGGUUCUCCCCGAAAGCUAUUUAGGUAGCGCCUCGUGAA